ACGCUAGCGGCAGGCCUAACACAUGCAAGUCGAGGGGUAACAGGGAGCUUGCUCCGCUGACGACCGGCGCACGGGUGCGCAACGCGUAUGCAAUCUACCUCUUACUAAGGGAUAGCCCAGAGAAAUUUGGAUUAAUAUCUUAUGUGGUAUAAAUUCGGCAUCGGAUUUAUAUUAAAGGUUACGGUAAGAGAUGAGCAUGCGUCCCAUUAGUUAGUUGGUAAGGUAACGGCUUACCAAGACUUCGAUGGGUAGGGGUCCUGAGAGGGAGAUCCCCCACACUGGUACUGAGACACGGACCAGACUCCUACGGGAGGCAGCAGUGAGGAAUAUUGGACAAUGGGCGGAAGCCUGAUCCAGCCAUGCCGCGUGCAGGAAGACUGCCCUAUGGGUUGUAAACUGCUUUUAUACAGGAAGAAUAAGACCCUCGUGAGGGUCGAUGACGGUACUGUAAGAAUAAGGACCG
rnacentral:rRNA from 1 species